rnacentral:rRNA from 1 species
GGAAGAAAAGUCGUAACAAGGUUUCCGUAGGUGAACCUGCGGAAGGAUCAUUACCGAGUGCGGGCCCUCGCGGCCCAACCUCCCCACCUUGUCUCUAUACACCUGUUGCUUUGGCGGGCCCACCGGGGCCACCUGGUCGCCGGGGGACGCACGUCUCCGGGCCCGCGCCCGCCGAAGCGCUCUGUGAACCCUGAUGAAGAUGGGCUGUCUGAGUACUGUGAAAAUUGUCAAAACUUUCAACAAUGGAUCUCUUGGUUCCGGCAUCGAUGAAGAACGCAGCGAAAUGCGAUAAGUAAUGUGAAUUGCAGAAUUCCGUGAAUCAUCGAAUCUUUGAACGCACAUUGCGCCCCCUGGCAUUCCGGGGGGCAUGCCUGUCCGAGCGUCAUUUCUGCCCUCAAGCACGGCUUGUGUGUUGGGUGUGGUCCCCCCGGGGACCUGCCCGAAAGGCAGCGGCGACGUCCGUCUGGUCCUCGAGCGUAUGGGGCUCUGUCACUCGCUCGGGAAGGACCUGCGGGGGUUGGUCACCACCAUGUUUUACCACGGUUGACCUCGGAUCAGGUAGGAGUUACCCGCUGAACUUAAGCAUAUCAAUAAGCGGAGGA